CCCUUAGAUGUUCUGAACCGCACGCGUGCUACACUGAUGCAUUCAACGAGCUUUACCUUGGCCGAGAGGCCUGGGAAAUCUUUUUAGCAUGCAUCGUGAUAGGGAUUGAUUAUUGCAAUUAUUAAUCAUGAACGAGGAAUUCCUAGUAAACGCAUUUCAUCAAAAUGCAUUGAUUACGUCCCUGCCCUUUGUACACACCGCCCGUCGCACCUACCGAUUGAGUGGUCCGGUGAAGUCUCGAGAUUGUGGCAAUCUCCUUUAUUGGAGUUUGACUGCGAGAACUUGCCUAAACCUUAUCACUUAGAGGAAGGUGAAGUCGUAACA
rnacentral:rRNA from 1 species